UGGGGAAUAUUGCACAAUGGGCGAAAGCCUGAUGCAGCAACGCCGCGUGAGUGAUGAAGGCCUUCGGGUUGUAAAGCUCUGUCUUUUGGGACGAUAAUGACGGUACCAAAGGAGGAAGCCACGGCUAACUACGUGCCAGCAGCCGCGGUAAUACGUAGGUGGCAAGCGUUGUCCGGAUUUACUGGGCGUAAAGGAUGCGUAGGCGGAUUUUUAAGUGAGAUGUGAAAACCCUAAGCUUAACUUGGGGACUGCAUUUCAUACUGGAAAUCUAGAGUGCGGGAGAGGAGAAUGGAAUUCCUAGUGUAGCGGUGAAAUGCGUAGAGAUUAGGAAGAACACCAGUGGCGAAGGCGAUUCUCUGGACCGUAACUGACGCUGAGGCAUGAAAGCGUGGGUAGCAAACAGGAUUAGAUACCCUGGUAGUCCACGCCGUAAACGAUGAGUACUAGGUGUAGGAGGUAUCGACCCCUUCUGUGCCGCAGUUAACACAAUAAGUACUCCGCCUGGGAAGUACGAUCGCAAGAUUAAAAACUUAAAUGAAUUGACGGGGGUCAUAGCUGUUUCCU
rnacentral:rRNA from 1 species